UCCACCUGCCCGGGUUUAUUGUUCGGAGUUUGCUCUCCUAGGCAGAUUGCCUACCACGGCUGACGAGCUCCACCUGCCCGGGUUUGUUGUUCGGAGUUUGCUCUCCUAGGUGUAUUGCCUACCACGGCUGACGAGCUCCACCUGCCCGGGUUUGUUGUUCGGAGUUUGCUCUCCUAGGUGAAUUGCCUACCACGGCUAACGAGCUCCACCUGCCCGGGUUUGUUGUUCGGAGUUUGCUCUCCUAGGUGAAUUGCCUCCCACGGCUAACGAGCUCCACCUGCCCGGGUUUGUUGUUCGGAGUUUGCUCUCCUAGGUGAAUUGCCUACCACGGCUAACGAGCCUCACCUGCCCGGGUUUGUUGUUCGGAGUUUGCUCUCCUAGGUGAAUUGCCUCCCACGGCUAACGAGCUCCACCUGCCCGGGUUUGUUGUUCGGAGUUUGCUCUCCUAGGUGAAUUGCCUCCCACGGCUAACGAGCUCCACCUGCCCGGGUUUGUUGUUCGGAGUUUGCUCUCCUAGGUGAAUUGCCUCCCACGGCUAACGAGCCUCACCUGCCCGGGUUUGUUUAGAGUUUGCUCUCCUAGGUGAACUGCCUCCCACGGCUAACGAGCCUCACCUGCCCGGGUUUGUUUAGAGUUUGCUCUCCUAGGUGAAUUGCCUACCACGGCUAACGACCUCCACCUGCCCGGGUUUGUUUAGAGUUUGCUCUCCUAGGUGAAUUGCCUACCACGGCUGACGAGCUCCACCUGGCCGGGUUUAUUGUUCGGAGUUUGCUCUCCUAGGUGAAUUGCCUCCCACGGCUAACGACCUCCACCUGCCCGGGUUUAUUGUUCGGAGUUUGCUCUCCUAGGUGAAUUGCCUCCCACGGCUAACGACCUCCACCUGCCCGGGUUUGUAUAGAGUUUGCUCUCCUAGGUGAAUUGCCUACCACGGCUAACGAGCCUCACCUGCCCGGGUUUGUAUAGAGUUUGCUCUCCUAGGUGAAUUGCCUCCCACGGCUAACGACCUCCACCUGCCCGGGUUUAUUGUUCGGAGUUUGCUCUCCUAGGUGAAUUGCCUACCACGGCUAACGAGCCUCACCUGCCCGGGUUUGUAUAGAGUUUGCUCUCCUAGGUGAAUUGCCUACCACGGCUAACGAGCCUCACCUGCCCGGGUUUGUUUAGAGUUUGCUCUCCUAGGUGAAUUGCCUUCCACGGCUAACGAGCCUCACCUGCCCGGAUUUGUAUAGAGUUUGCUCUCCUAGGCAGAUUGCCUACCACGGCUAACGAGCUCCACCUGCCCGGGUUUGUAGCCGGAAGAUCUCCGGCACCUCCGUCGGGGCCCGGAGGGACGCCGAGGAGCCCUGCCUGGAGCCCUCCAUUCCUGCCAUGCUCGCCAGGGAGACCUUGGGCUCGCUGGCGCUCCACACCCCCGCCGAGGCGAGGAUGCAAGAACUCGCUUCUUAAAACUACCAGACUGGAUUAUAAAAUUAAUCAUAAUUACUGUGAAGGCGCCGGUCACCGCGUUUAUCGGUUCAGGGAUGGAAGACCGACGGGCCUGGGAAACGCGCACAAGCAUCCAAAGGAAUCCUCGCGACGGCUUGCGACGCAGCAUCCGUUUCCCUUUUCUUUCUCAUUCCAAUUUUUCUUUUUUAUUAUAUUUUCCUUCUCUGA